AAAAGAAAAAGAAAUGAAAAGAAAGAAACAGAAUACAAUUCGAAACGGAACAGGGGAGAAACAGGGGAGAAAGAAAGAAAGAAAAAGUAAAGAAGAAAAUUAGGGAUUUUAAGGUUCAAUUUCAAAUUGAAGAAGGAAAAGAGAAGGCUAAGGAGUGAAGGAAGAUAUCAUCUCAACCUUUUUGUUGUACAAUUUGAGUCGAAGAGGUAAAGUCAGGAAAGAAGAUUCCUCAUCUCAUCACAUCUUCAAGAGCUUCAGAAGUAGGUACCAUAUUUUGAAUUAAAAUGGCAUGUACAUAGACAGUCAGUUAUGCUUCCAUGUGUUAGGAAUUAAAAUGUAAACUCUUGGACUUCUAUCUAUUUUUAGGUAUUUUACGUA